AAUAGAUACCCUGGUAGUCCACGCCGUAAACGAUGAGUGCUAAGUGUUAGAGGGUUUCCGCCCUUUAGUGCUGCAGCUAGCGCAUUAAGCACUCCGCCUGGGGAGUACGGCCGCAAGGCUGAAACUCAAAGGAAUUGACGGGGGCCCGCACAAGCGGUGGAGCAUGUGGUUUAAUUCGAAGCAACGCGAAGAACCUUACCAGGUCUUGACAUCCUCUGCCAACCCUAGAGAUAGGGCGUUCCCCUUCGGGGGACAGAGUGACAGGUGGUGCAUGGUUGUCGUCAGCUCGUGUCGUGAGAUGUUGGGUUAAGUCCCGCAACGAGCGCAACCCUUGAUCUUAGUUGCCAGCAUUCAGUUGGGCACUCUAAGGUGACUGCCGGUGACAAACCGGAGGAAGGUGGGGAUGACGUCAAAUCAUCAUGCCCCUUAUGACCUGGGCUACACACGUGCUACAAUGGAUGGUACAAAGAGCUGCGAACCCGCGAGGGUAAGCCAAUCUCAUAAAGCCAUUCUCAGUUCGGAUUGU
rnacentral:rRNA from 1 species